rnacentral:misc_RNA from 1 species
AAGUAAACACGAACCUCACCGUCGAUAACCGCUGUUAUUUUAGGGCGUGGAGUCGUCAAGAAACGCUCAGGGGUAGCGUGGGAGGGGCGGUGGCGUGCGGCGGUUUUGUGGUCUGCCGGGCAGGCUUCGCACCUAACCCUGCUGCUGUUGCCAUCAUAAAUUCGUUUCACCAGCCCUGAUCGGUGAAUGCCACUGACACUCGUGGCUUCCAAGACUGCAUUUGCUGUUUUGCAACCGUCGGGUACCCACCUUCCUUGAGAAUGACCAUCAAAAUUUACAUUUCUGGGCUCUCCGGUAAUUAUGAGGUGAAGAAGCGGCAGCAGCGGAUCCAGACGGUGCUGGAUUCCUGCGCCAUCCAGUACGAGCUGAUCGACAUCACGGAGGCGGGCUGUGAGGAUGAGCGCAAGUUCAUGCAGGAGACGGCCACGGCCAAGGAGGGCGAGCGGAACCCGCUGCCGCCGCAGAUCUUCAACGACAAGGACUACUGCGGGGACUACGACGGCUUUGACGUAGCGAAUGAGACAGAUCAGCUGCACCAGUUCCUGAAGCUGAGUGAAGGAGAGGUGAACACGGCUCAGGAUAUCCUCAGUGCGAACAGGAGGUCAUCAAGUAGAGAGCAAACCCCAAUGGCGGAGAACGGAAUCGACCACGCCGACAAUCCUGAGCCUCCCGCGGCUGCCGAGGCCACAGAAGAGGAUCACGUAGAGCCCCCCGAUCAAGCCCCAGUUGACGAUCUGGAGGUGAAGACUGAUGUGGAACCGGAAGCGGCCGAGCAGAGGGAGGAAAACGACUCCGCCGUGGAUGCGGAGGAUGAGGGAGCAAAAGACUCCAAGGUUGACGACUCAAACGAAGGCGCCACCGAUGAGAAGGUGGCAACGCCGGAGCCGGAAGCUCCCGAGGAGGAAACGGUCCCUGCCGCGGAUGCAAAGGCCGACGUCGAAGACGACAAGGAGGACAAAUCUGGGGAUGAGGAAAGUGAGGGAGAAGACGAUGAGGACGAAAACCCGGAUUUAGCGGACCUGAAGGCGGCGGCGCAACGGCUGUCUCCGGACAGCGCCGCCGCGGCGGACGGCGCGGCGUCCGCCGCGUCUGCCGCGCCGCCGGCGGAGAGCGAGCCGCGACCGGACACCGGCGACGUGCCCGACGGAGCGCCGGCGGAGGAUCGAGCCGAUGACGAGGGCUGCGCGGAGGACGAGGCAGCCGCCGACCAGCUGGAGAACAAGGACAGAGCGGCGAAAGAUGCUGUGGGGGAUAAGGAUGCUGAGGCGCCCCAGAAGCAGCGUCUUGGAGACUCCGUCGAUGACGCGAAGGAUGGUUCCGACAAGCCAGUUGCUGCUGGAGUAGAGGAUGACGAUGGAGAUGCGGCGCUGUCUGACUAAGGCCAUCUUCAGGACGGUGGGCAACGGAGACAACCAGCAGGAGAACGCCGACAAGGAGGAAUGAGCCGGCGAGCGCCGCGUGACCCCCCGGCGGCUCCCCGGGCCAGUCGUGUCCCGCCGGCGGCAGUGUUUUUAUACCGUGGUGACAAGGUCAGGGCCGCUUGACGGGACACAGCCUGCACGUGCGCGGCUCAGCGGCAGCGCCGCUGGGCGCUCGUCGAAUGGGACACUGCUCAGCUUGCUAAAAUGCAGGGACUUUCGGUUCAAGUGGCGUACAAAAUCAAUUGAUUCCGUUCAACGACCCGGCGCGGGAGGCCGGCGUGUUCAUUGCCAUCGAAAGCGCCGGUCGGCUGGGCGCCCUUGGACAUCCUACUUUAUGUUAUGUUAUCGCUUUGUAGCUUUACGACCGACCGCCUUGCCGCCGUCUGUUUUCGUGUACCCUUGGGUUCUGUGCAGUUACCCUGUGCAAGAUAAUCGUAGCCCCGCCAGGUCGCUUGCCACUAAGUGGCGCGCCGCCUGGCGCCGUGCUGCCCUGGUCUUUGACCAGUCAUAUCCGAAUUCGUAGCAACGAGCUAGUGAUUAUUUGAGGCCGCCGGCAGGUGAUGAGCGGUGCGCUUGUUUCGCUUGCCCUGACCUUUUAGUGUAGGAUUGUUGCCAUUAUAUUCUGUCCUGCUUUGCUGUUGCAUAUUUUGGUACAGCUGGUACCGCUCCUUGCCAUUUUGUCAUGUUGUGCCCUAAUUCUGCGGAUUGCAACAAUAAACGUGCUCAGAAA